UUAGCGAUAGCUGGUUACUCAGGAAAAGAAUUUUAGUUCUACCUAAACAUCCUAUAAUAAGAUAAAAUUUAUACUUAUUUUUAGAGCAAUUCAAAUAAGGUUCAGCUUAUUUGAUACAGGGUACAACCUCAACUAACGGGUAAUCUUUAUAUCUCACCACAACCUAGUUGGCCUAAAAGCAGCCACCACUAAAAGCGUCAUAGCUUAUUUCUUCCCCUCAACCAAUAACUUUAAUUUUACCAAACCCUUCAUCAAUACUGAGUAAUUCUAUACUGAUAUAGAAGAUUUUCUGUUAAAACUAGUAACAAGAAAAUAAUUUUCUCCACAAUGCAAACAUAAGUCAGUCUGUACCCAACACUGACAAUUAAUAGGUCUAAACCUAAAGUAGUAACCCCACAAGAAAACACUACUCCUAACUCUAUUAACCUAACACAAGAGCAUCCCAGGAAAGAUUUUAAAAAAAAGAAGGAACUCGGCAAACACUAAUCCCGCCUGUUUACCAAAAACAUCGCCUUUUGACAUCUUCAUAAAAGGUCCAGCCUGCCCAGUGACUUUUGUUCAACGGCCGCGG
rnacentral:rRNA from 1 species